rnacentral:tRNA from 1 species
GCCGAGGUGGCGGAACUGGUAGACGCACCAGACUCAAAAUCUGGCGAUAGUGAUAUCGUGUCGGUUCGAUUCCGACUCUCGGCACCA